rnacentral:rRNA from 1 species
UGUUUCCUACGGGACGCAGCAGUAGGGAAUCUUCCACAAUGGGCGAAAGCCUGAUGGAGCAACGCCGCGUGGGUGAAGAAGGUCUUCGGAUCGUAAAACCCUGUUGUUAGAGAAGAAAGUGCGUGAGAGUAACUGUUCACGUUUCGACGGUAUCUAACCAGAAAGCCACGGCUAACUACGUGCCAGCAGCCGCGGUAAUACGUAGGUGGCAAGCGUUAUCCGGUUUUAUUUGGCGUAAAGGGAACGCAGGCGGUCUUUUAAGGCUGAAGGGCAAGGCCUCGGCUUAACCGGAGUAGUGCAUUGGG